AACGCGAAGAACCUUACCGGGGCUUGACAUGGCACUGUAACGGCCGGAAACGGUCGCCUCCGCAAGGACGGUGUCACAGGUGCUGCAUGGCUGUCGUCAGCUCGUGUCGUGAGAUGUUGGGUUAAGUCCCGCAGCGAGCGCAACCCCUAUUGCUAGUUACCCUCUCUAGCGAAACUGCCGCGAGUAACGCGGAGGAAGGUGGGGAUGACGUCAAGUCAGCACGGCCCUUACGUCCCGGGCUACACACACGCUACAAUGGUCGUGACAGCGAGAUGCUACGCCGCGAGGCCACGCCAAUCUCUGAAACACGGCCUCAGUUCAGAUUGCAGGCUGCAACUCGCCUGCAUGAAGUCGGAGUUGCUAGUAACCGCGGGUCAGCACACCGCGGUGAAUAUGUUCCCGGGCCUUGUACACACCGACGCAC
rnacentral:rRNA from 1 species